GACGAACGCUGGCGGCGUGCCUAAUACAUGCAAGUAGAACGCAGUUGCGAACGGGUGAGUAACGCGUAGGUAACUGCCUGGUAGCGGGGGAUAACUUUUGGAAACGAUAGCUAAUAUCGCAUACUACCAGAUGGACCUGCGUUGUAGUAGCUAUUUUGUGGUGUAACGGCUCACCAAGGCCACGAUACAUAGCCGACCCGAGGGGGUUGUCGGCCACAAUUGGAAUGAGACACGGCCCAGACUCCUACGGGAGGCAGCAGGAGGGAAUCUUCGGCAAUUGACGGAAGGCUGACCGAGCAACGCCGCGUGAGUGAAGAAGGUUUUCGGAUCGUAAAGCCCUGUUGUAAGAGGAGCGGUAUCUUACCAGAAAGGGACGGCUAACUACGUGCCAGCAGCCGCGGUAAUAC
rnacentral:rRNA from 1 species